UACGGAGGGUGCAAGCGUUAUCCGGAUUCACUGGGUUUAAAGGGAGCGUAGGCGGGAAGGUAAGUCCGUGGUGAAAGCCCUCAGCUUAACUGACGGACUGCCAUAGAUACUACAUGUCUUGAAUAUCGUAGAGGUUUGCGGAAUAGGUCAUGUAGCGGUGAAAUGCUUAGAUAUGACCUGGAACACCUAUUGCGAAGGCAGCAGGCUAAGCGAUUAUUGACGCUCAGGCACGAAAGCGUGGGGAGCAAACAGG
rnacentral:rRNA from 1 species